AGUGAACGCUGGCGGUAGGCCUAACACAUGCAAGUCGAACGGCAGCACAGUAAGAGCUUGCUCUUACGGGUGGCGAGUGGCGGACGGGUGAGGAAUACAUCGGAAUCUACUUUUUCGUGGGGGAUAACGUAGGGAAACUUACGCUAAUACCUCAUACGACCUACGGGUGAAAGCAGGGGAUCUUCGGACCUUGCGCGAUUGAAUGAGCCGAUGUCGGAUUAGCUAGUUGGCUGGGUAAAGGCCCACCAAGGCGACGAUCCGUAGCUGGUCUGAGAGGAUGAUCAGCCACACUGGAACUGAGACACGGUCCAGACUCCUACGGGAGGCAGCAGUGGGGAAUAUUGGACAAUGGGCGCAAGCCUGAUCCAGCCAUACCGCGUGGGUGAAGAAGGCCUUCGGGUUGUAAAGCCCUUUUGUUGGGAAAGAAAAGCAGCAGGUUAAUACCCCGCUGUUCUGACGGUACCCAAAGAAUAAGCACCGGCUAACUUCGUG
rnacentral:rRNA from 1 species